UACGGAGGGUGCAAGCGUUGCUCGGAAUCAUUGGGCGUAAAGCGUACGCAGGCUGUUCGUUAAGUCGGGUGUGAAAUCCCGGGGCUCAACCCCGGAACUGCGCCCGAAACUGGCGAGCUUGAAUGCGGGAGAGGGAAGCGGAAUUCCUGGUGUAGCGGUGAAAUGCGCAGAUAUCAGGAAGAACACCUAUGGCGAAGGCAGCUCUCUGGGACGGUACUGACGCUGAGACGCGAAAGCGUGGGGAGCGAACAGG
rnacentral:rRNA from 1 species